GAUAAACUAGAUCUUGAUCCGCACGUCCGUGCGGAGUUUUAUUCUUUUUACCCUAAAGUGAUGAAAUAACUUAUUGAAUAAAGUACUAAUGUAAAUACAAUUAUCUACAUUUUGAUAGAUUAUAAAAAUAAUUCUAGAAAGCAAUAAACAUAAAUACGUUUAUAAUUUAGAAUUAGUUAAAAUCAUAAAUUCCCAACGGAUUUUUCAAGGGAGCAUAAAUAACCAUUGGGUUGAUAACUUAAAAACCAUUUCCAUUUGUCAUAAAUGUGUGUCGGAAACGACCAUAUGUUUAUGAUUCUCGUAUUGAUCACGCCUUUGCUCUUGGUCCAUUAUUUAGUAAAGACUCUUCCUCAGCUCU
rnacentral:lncRNA from 1 species